ACCUACGGGAGGCAGCAGUGGGGAAUAUUGGGCAAUGGGCGCAAGCCUUACCCAGCAAUACCGCGUGAGUGAAGAAGGUCUUCGGAUUGUAAAGCUCUUUGAUCAGGGACGAACAGAUGACGGUACCUGAAGAACAAGCCCCGGCUAACUACGUGCCAGCAGCCGCGGUAAAACGUAGGGGGCAAGCGUUAUCCGGAAUUAUUGGGUGUAAAGGGUGCGUAGACGGAAGAACAAGUUGGUUGUGAAAUCCCUCGGCUCAACUGAGGAACUGCAACCAAAACUAUUCUCCUUGAGUGUCGGAGAGG
rnacentral:rRNA from 1 species